GAGCCGGGCUCCCGCGCGCAGAGCGGGGCUGGCCGCCUCUCCCCCGAGGCCGAGUGAGUUUCAAACGGCAAAGUGCGAACAGGGCCGCUGCAGACCCACAGGCUGCAGGCGCCCGGCGCCCGCGAGGCUCCGCGUUCCCGGGCGCGAGGUCCGCCUCGGGGAGCUCCCAAACAAUGCGAGGCGGAAUAAACUGCAAAAGAACCCGAGCUCUCAGUGGGAUUUAAGGAACUCCAGAGAGACUUGUGUGCUUCAGAGACGCUUAAGUACCCCAGUCUCACAACAUUUCAGAUCCACAGAGCUAUCAGCAGGCAGUCACUCCUAGCCAGGAAGUCUCUAACAGCACUGAGACUCUUCAGAGGUUGAUGCUUUUGGCCAAGAUCGUGGAGGAGGAAGACCCAGGGCUCCACCUGAGCGCGUCCCCUGGGCCUUCAGAAGCACCAGGGUGACUGAGGUUUCUGCUGUCUGGAGACUAUGGUCCAUAGGAGCGAAGGCACAGUUCGUCCAUUCUGGCAAAUCCUUCCCUCUGACCCCCUGACCGUUACCUUCCCAGGUGUCCUCAUUUUCUGCCAGGUCAAGCCUGCUGGGGGCAAAGCUCCUACUUCAUGAUUACCUUCUCUUCAUUUUAAAACAAAUGUCCUUUCCCUUAUUGCAACUAGUUGAAAGCAGAAAAGUGAUGUUAUACUAAGACUAAUUCACGUGGAGUUGAGAAGGACUGAUACCAUUCUGGAGGAUACCACUUCAAGGGGUUUGCUCAGACUUUAAGGAUAGGCACUUUCUUUAAGCAUUUCAUUUUUUUGAGCAUAACAUGUUCUGUCCCUUCAUGUCAUACCUUAGAUUUCAAUUUUAGAUUUAAAAUAUAUCAUUUAGAAUGUAUUAUCACUAUAAUAUUAAGGAAGAAAUCUUUAUUGAUAUCAUUCUAAGGACUGUGAUAGAUAAAGAAGACCUCUCCAAACCCCCAGAUCCUACCAUACUGGAAACUGAUUACUCAGAUUAUUCUCUCAGUAUUUCUAUAUCGAAACCAAUACCACGGACUGAAAGCUCUCCUGAGAUAUCUUGGAAGAAUGAAUAGAGGUCCAGUGUUGGAGGGCAUUUCUAUAGAGUAAAAUGAAUGAGUACAUCAUUAAUUCCCACAUACACAUUCUCUUCUCUGGUUGUGGAAAGUUUGUCAAAAGUUUCUACCAUUUGAUCUUUUAUCUGCAAAAUGUAUAUGGAAGUAGUACAAUGA